rnacentral:rRNA from 1 species
GUGUCAGCAGCCGCGGUAAUACGGAGGGUGCAAGCGUUAUCCGGAUUCACUGGGUUUAAAGGGUGCGUAGGUGGGUCUGUAAGUCCGUGGUGAAAUCUCCGAGCUUAACUCGGAAACUGCCAUGGAUACUAUAGAUCUUGAAUACCGUGGAGGAUAGCGGAAUAUGUCAUGUAGCGGUGAAAUGCUUAGAUAUGACAUAGAACACCAAUUGCGAAGGCAGCUGUCUACCCGAAUAUUGACACUGAGGCACGAAAGCGUGGGGAUCAAACAGGAUUAGAAACCCCUGUAGUCC